rnacentral:rRNA from 1 species
AAUGAACGCUGGCGGCGCGCCUAAUACAUGCAAGUCGAGCGAGAAGACGUAGCAAUACGUUUGUAAAGCGGCGAACGGGUGGGGAAUACAUGGGUAACCUACCCUCGAGUGGGGAAUAACUAGCCGAAAGGUUAGCUAAUACCGCGUACGCUUCUUGGACUUCGGUUCAGGGAGGAAAGCGAUGCCGAGGGUAUCGCGCUCUUGGAUGGGCUCAUGUCCUAUCAGCUUGUUGGUGNGGUAACGGCUCACCAAGGCUUCGACGGGUAGCUGGUCUGAGAGGACGAUCAUCCACACUGGCACUGCGACACGGGCCAGACUCCUACGGGAGGCAGCAGUAAGGAAUAUUGCGCAAUGGGCGAAAGCCUGACGCA